GCCUACAGCCAUACCGGACCAAACACCCCCAGUCCCGUCCAAUCUCAGAAGGUAAACCAUCCUGGGCCUGGCUAGUACUUGGAUGGGUGACCGCCUGGGAAUCUCAGGUGCUGUAGGCA
ensembl:rRNA 5S_rRNA 5S ribosomal RNA